AAUCAACGCUGGCGGCGUGCCUAACACAUGCAAGUCGAACGAGAAAGCGGGGGCAACCCCGUGAGUAAAGUGGCGACCGGGUGAGUAACACGUGACUAACCUGCCCUUAAACGUGGAAUAACCUUCCGAAAGGAGGGCUAAUACCGCAUGAACUCGCGAGGUGAGAUCCCUUGUGAGCAAAGGAGCAAUCCAUUCGAGGAGGGGGUCGCGGCUGAUUAGCUAGUUGGCGGGGUAACGGCCCACCAAGGCGAUGAUCAGUAUCCGGCCUGAGAGGGCGCACGGACACACUGGAACUGAAACACGGUCCAGACUCCUACGGGAGGCAGCAGUGGGGAAUUUUGCGCAAUGGGGGAAACCCUGACGCAGCAACGCCGCGUGAAAGAUGAAGUCCCUUGGGAUGUAAACUUCUUUCGACCGGGACGAUGAUGACGGUACCGGAUGAAGAAGCACCGGCUAACUCUGUGCCAGCCGCCGCCGUAAUAC
rnacentral:rRNA from 1 species